GGAGACUGUAAUAGAGUAGGGCAUAAAAAAGAGAAUCAAAAAAGGAAGUGGAGCUACAGAGUAACUGGGUCAGGGAUGUUCUUGUGAUUUAUAGGCAGGAACUGCCCAAGGUGCAUGCUUGACAAAGGACACUACCUUGUUGCCUACAUGAAGAAGGCAGAGUCAUCUCAUGCCCAUUUAUUGCUUAAGAACCCAUUGGCAUAAUUUCCGU